AUUGAACGCUGGCGGAAUGCUUUACACAUGCAAGUCGAGCGGCAGCGGGAAAGUAGCUUGCUACUUUUGCCGGCGAGCGGCGGACGGGUGAGUAAUGCCUGGGGAUCUGCCCAGUCGAGGGGGAUAACUACUGGAAACGGUAGCUAAUACCGCAUACGCCCUACGGGGGAAAGCAGGGGACCUUCGGGCCUUGCGCGAUUGGAUGAACCCAGGUGGGAUUAGCUAGUUGGUGAGGUAAUGGCUCACCAAGGCGACGAUCCCUAGCUGGUCUGAGAGGAUGAUCAGCCACACUGGAACUGAGACACGGUCCAGACUCCUACGGGAGGCAGCAGUGGGGAAUAUUGCACAAUGGGGGAAACCCUGAUGCAGCCAUGCCGCGUGUGUGAAGAAGGCCUUCGGGUUGUAAAGCACUUUCAGCGAGGAGGAAAGGUUGGUAGCUAAUAACUGCCAGCUGUGACGUUACUCGCAGAAGAAGCACCGGCUAACUCCGUGCCAGCAGCCGCCGCAG
rnacentral:rRNA from 1 species